AGUGGCGGACGGGUGAGUAACGCGUAAGAAUCUAACUUCAGGACGGGGACAACAGUGGGAAACGACUGCUAAUACCCGAUGUGCCGCGAGGUGAAACCUAAUUGGCCUGAAGAAGAGCUUGCGUCUGAUUAGCUAGUUGGUGGGGUAAGAGCCUACCAAGGCGACGAUCAGUAGCUGGUCUGAGAGGAUGAGCAGCCACACUGGGACUGAGACACGGCCCAGACUCCUACGGGAGGCAGCAGUGGGGAAUUUUCCGCAAUGGGCGAAAGCCUGACGGAGCAACGCCGCGUGAGGGAGGAAGGUCUUUGGAUUGUAAACCUCUUUUCUCAAGGAAGAAGUUCUGACGGUACUUGAGGAAUCAGCCUCGGCUAACUCCGUGCCAGCAGCCGCGGUAAUACGGGGGAGGCAAGCGUUAUCCGGAAUUAUUGGGCGUAAAGCGUCCGCAGGUGGUCAGCCAAGUCUGCCGUCAAAUCAGGUUGCUUAACGACCUAAAGGCGGUGGAAACUGGCAGACUAGAGAGCAGUAGGGGUAGCAGGAAUUCCCAGUGUAGCGGUGAGAUGCGUAGAGAUUGGGAAGAACAUCGGUGGCGAAAGCGUGCUACUGGGCUGUAUCUGACACUCAGGGACGAAAGCUAGGGGAGCGAAAGGGAUUAGAUACCCCUGUAGUCCUAGCCGUAAACGAUGGAUACUAGGCGUGGCUU
rnacentral:rRNA from 1 species